rnacentral:tRNA from 1 species
GGGCCCUUAGCUCAGUCGGUUAGAGCGCGCGACUCAUAAUCGCUCGGUCGUUGGUUCGAGUCCAACAGGGCCUAC